rnacentral:rRNA from 1 species
GUGAGGAAUUUUUCGCAAUGGGCGAAAGCCUGACGGAGCAAUGCCGCGUGAAGGAUGAAGGCCUAUGGGUUGUAAACUUCUUUUCUCAGAAAAGAAUUAUGACGGUAUCUGAGGAAUAAGCAUCGGCUAACUCUGUGCCAGCAGCCGCGGUAAGACAGAGGAUGCAAGCGUUAUCCGGAAUGAUUGGGCGUAAAGCGUCUGUAGGUUGUUUAAAAAGUAUUCUGUCAAAGAUUAGGGCUUAACCCUAGAUAGGCAGAAUAAACUUUUAAGCUAGAGUUUGGUAGAGGCAGAGGGAAUUCCCGGUGGAGCGGUGAAAUGCGUAGAUAUCGGGAGGAACACCAAAGGCGAAGGCACUCUGCUGGGCCAAUACUAACACUGAGAGACGAAAGCGAGGGGAGCAAAUGGGAUUAGAUACCCCGGUAGUCC